UACGUAGGGUGCAAGCGUUGUCCGGAAUUAUUGGGCGUAAAGAGCUUGUAGGCGGUUUUGUCGCGUCUGCUGUGAAAUUUUCGGGGGCUCACCCCCGAACUUGCAGUGGGUACGGGGCAGACUAGAGUGUGGUAGGGGGGAGACUGGAAUUCCUGGUGUAGCGGUGAAAUGCGCAGAUAUCAGGAGGAACACCGGUGGCGAAGGCGGGGUCUCUGGGGUAGUAACUGACGCUGAGGAACGAAAGCGUGGGGUAGCGAAACAGG
rnacentral:rRNA from 1 species